rnacentral:lncRNA from 1 species
UCAUCAUAAUCUUAAAAAUAAUGAUGAUUGAAAGAUAUCAAUAUUUUCAAAAAGGAGAUCUAUUACAGGAAUGCAUUAACAAUUUCACUUUCAAAAAGGCAUAAUUAAGUAUAAUCCGAAUAAUUGAAAUACAUAUCACAUUUUAGCGUCAAUGCAUAAUUAAAAAGAUUUCACAAAAUACCCUACUGGCGUCCCAAGUAGGUCACCUAUAUACCCCAUCAGCGUCCUGAUAGGUCCACUUAAUCCCUAUCGGCGUCUCAGAUAGGUCCACUUAAUCCCUGCAGGUCCACUUAUACCUCACCGGCGUACCGGAUGAGUCCACUUAAUCCCUAUCGGUGUCUCGGAUAGGUCCACUUAUACCUCACCGGCGAACCGGAUGAGUGCACUUGCAUACUUAAAGUAUUUCUAAAUCUCUUUAAACAUUCGAAAGCA